rnacentral:rRNA from 2 species
CGCGGCCUAUCAGCUUGUUGGUGGGGUAACGGCCUACCAAGGCGACGACGGGUAGCCGGCCUGAGAGGGCGACCGGCCACACUGGGACUGAGACACGGCCCAGACUCCUACGGGAGGCAGCAGUGGGGAAUAUUGCGCAAUGGGCGAAAGCCUGACGCAGCGACGCCGCGUGAGGGAUGACGGCCUUCGGGUUGUAAACCUCUUUCAGCAGGGACGAAGCGAAAGUGACUGUACCUGCAGAAGAAGCACCGGCUAACUACGUGCCAGCAGCCGCGGUAAUACGUAGGGUGCAAGCGUCGUCCGGAAUUAUUGGGCGUAAAGAGCUCGUAGGCGGCUCGUCGCGUCGGAUGUGAAACCUCGGGGCUCAACCCCGAGCCUGCAUUCGAUACGGGCGGGCUAGAAUUCGGUAGGGGAGACUGGAAUUCCUGGUGUAGCGGUGAAAUGCGCAGAUAUCAGGAGGAACACCGAUGGCGAAGGCAGGUCUCUGGGCCGACAUUGACGCUGAGGGGCGAAAGCGUGGGGAGCGAACAGGAUUAGAUACCCUGGUAGUCCACGCCGUAAACGUUGGGCGCUAGGUGUGGGGGACUUUCCACGUCCUCUGUGCCGCAGCUAACGCAUUAAGCGCCCCGCCUGGGGAGUACGG